GAUGAACGCUGGCGGCGUGCCUAAUACAUGCCAGUCGAGCGAACGGACGAGAAGCUUGCUUCUCUGAUGUUAGCGGCGGACGGGUGAGUAACACGUGGAUAACCUACCUAUAAGACUGGGAUAACUUCGGGAAACCGGAGCUAAUACCGGAUAAUAUUUUGAACCGCAUGGUUCAAAAGUGAAAGACGGUCUUGCUGUCACUUAUAGAUGGAUCCGCGCUGCAUUAGCUAGUUGGUAAGGUAACGGCUUACCAAGGCAACGAUGCAUAGCCGACCUGAGAGGGUCAUCGGCCACACUGGAACUGAGACACGUUCCAGACUCCUACGGGAGGCAGCAGUAGGGAAUCUUCCGCAAUGGGCGAAAGCCUGACGGAGCAACGCCGCGUGAGUGAUGAAGGUCUUCUGAUCGUAAAACUCUGUUAUUAGGGAAGAACAUAUGUGUAAGUAACUGUGCACAUCUUGACGGUACCUAAUCAGAAAGCCACGGCUAACUACGUG
rnacentral:rRNA from 1 species